rnacentral:rRNA from 1 species
AUCCCGACUUACCAACCCGAUGCAAACUGCGAAUACCGGAGAAUGUUAUCACGGGAGACACACGGCGGGUGCUAACGUCCGUCGUGAAGAGGGAAACAACCCAGACCGCCAGUUAAGGUCCCAAAGUUAUGGUUAAGUGGGAAACGAUGUGGGAAGGCCCAGACAGCCAGGAUGUUGGCUUAGAAGCAGCCAUCAUUUAAAGAAAGCGUAAUAGCUCACUGGUCGAGUCGGCCUGCGCGGAAGAUGUAACGGGGC